rnacentral:rRNA from 1 species
GCAAGUCGAGCGGUAACAUUUCCAGCUUGCUGGAAGAUGACGAGCGGCGGACGGGUGAGUAAUGCUUGGGGAUCUGCCCAGUCGAGGGGGAUAACAGUUGGAAACGACUGCUAAUACCGCAUACGCCCUACGGGGGAAAGGAGGGGACCUUAGGGCCUUUCGCGAUUGGAUGAACCCAAGUGGGAUUAGCUAGUUGGUAAGGUAAUGGCUUACCAAGGCGACGAUCCCUAGCUGGUCUUAGAGGAUGACC